GUGUCAGCCGCCGCGGUAAUACAGAGGGUGCAAGCGUUGUCCGGAAUGAUUGGGCGUAAAGCAUUUGUAGGUGGUUUCUAAAGUCAACUGUUAAAUCCCAGAGCUCAACUUUGGACAAGCAGUUGAGUACUUAGGGACUUGAGUAUGGUAGGGGUAGAGGGAAUUCCUAGUGGAGCGGUGAAAUGCACAGAGAUUAGGAAGAACACCAGUGGCGAAAGCGCUCUACUGGGCCAUUACUGACACUGAGAGAUGAGAGUCGGGGCAGCGAAAAGGAUUAGAUACCCUUGUAGUCCCGACCGUAAACGAUGUAUACUAAGUGCUGUCAAAAACAGUGCUGUAGCUAACGCGUUAAGUAUCCCGCCUGGGGAGUAUGCUCGCAAGAGUGAAACUCAAAGGAAUUGGCGGGG
rnacentral:rRNA from 1 species